UUUGCCAGGCCGUGUUUGAUCUUGUUAGCGCUUGCCUGCAUGCGUUUUUAUGUUUGUAGCCAUGUACUGGACCACGUGUCUCCUGCUUGGCAUUUUGAUUGGUCGUUCUGAGUUAGCCGUGCCACAUAGACUUAAAUGAAACGGUGCGUUUCAUUAGGAAACGCGCCUCAAUUUAAAUAUCAACUCAGUUCGAUUCUCUCAUGCAGCAUAA
rnacentral:lncRNA from 1 species